AAGUCGAGCGGUAACAGAUCUAGCUUGCUAGAUGCUGUAGAGCGGCGGACGGGUGAGUAACGCGUAGAAAUCUGCCCAGUAGUGGGGGAUAACCCGAGGAAACUCGGGCUAAUACCGCAUACAUCCUACGGGAAAAAGUGGGGGACCUUCGGGCCUCACGCUAUUGGAUGAGUCUGCGUCGGAUUAGCUAGUUGGCGGGGUAAAGGCCCACCAAGGCGACGAUCCGUAGCUGGUCUGAGAGGAUGAUCAGUCACACCGGAACUGAGACACGGUCCGGACUCCUACGGGAGGCAGCAGUGGGGAAUAUUGGACAAUGGGGGCAACCCUGAUCCAGCCAUGCCGCGUGUGUGAAGAAGGCUUUCGGGUUGUAAAGCACUUUCAGUAGGGAGAAAGGCUUUAGCUUAAUACACGGCUUGCCCUGACGUUACCAACAGAAGAAGCACCGGCUAACUCCGUGCCAGCAGCCGCGGAAAUACGGAGGGUGCAAGCGUUAAUCGGAAUUACUGGGCGUAAAGCGCGCGUAGGCGGUUUGAUCAGUUGGAUGUGAAAGCCCAGGGCUCAACCUUGGAACUGCAUUCAAUACUGGCAGGCUAGAGUAUGGUAGAGGUGAGUGGAAUUUCCUGUGUAGCGGUGAAAUGCGUAGAUAUAGGAAGGAACACCAGUGGCGAAGGCGACUCACUGGACCAAUACUGACACUGAGGUGCGAAAGCGUGGGGAGCAAACAGGAUUAGAUACCCUGGUAGUCCACGCUGUAAACGAUGUCAACUAGCCGUUGGGGGGGAAAGUACCUUUAGUAUCGAAGCUAACGCGUUAAGUUCUCCGCCUGGGGAGUACGGCCGCAAGGCUAAAACUCAAAUGAAUUGACGGGGGCCCGCACAAGCGGUGGAGCAUGUGGUUUAAUUCGAUGCAACGCGAAGAACCUUACCACUCCUUGACAUCCUGCGAACUUUCUUGAGAAAGAUUGGUGCCUUCGGGAACGCAGUGACAGGUGCUGCAUGGCUGUCGUCAGCUCGUGUUGUGAAAUGUUGGGUUAAGUCCCGUAACGAGCGCAACCCUUGUCCUUAGUUGCCAGCGCGUAAUGGCGGGGACUCUAAGGAGACUGCCGGUGACAAACCGGAGGAAGGUGGGGACGACGUCAAGUCAUCAUGGCCCUUACGGAGUGGGCUACACACGUGCUACAAUGGCCGGUACAAAGGGUUGCCAAGCCGCGAGGUGGAGCUAAUCCCAUAAAACCGGUCGUAGUCCGGAUUGGAGUCUGCAACUCGACUCCAUGAAGUCGGAAUCGCUAGUAAUCGUGGAUCAGCAUGCCACGGUGAAUACGUUCCCGGGCCUUGUACACACCGCCCGUCACACCAUGGGAGUGGGUUGCACCAGAAGUAGCUAGACUAACCUUCGGGAGGUCGG
rnacentral:rRNA from 1 species